AGUUUUCAUAAACAAUUAACUCCAAUUGACCAACAACCGAAACAUAGCAAGGCAGAAACAAAUUUCAGUAACACCAGCAGUCUGAAGUUACCCACUAAAACUAUUCAUAACAAAAAGAAAGAUUUUGAUCCUCCAGUAUGGAUGAAGAAGAAGCAAAGUCACUCUACUUCAUGCUUUACAAGUUUAAACAAUGAAGGCACAAGUAAAGCAGAAUUAACAGACUUUAGUCAUAGAUCUAUGAAAACAGUAUACUUUAUGUCAGAAAAAGAAGUAAUGGAAAUGUCACUUGAUAUUCUUAAACAGCAUGGCCAAGACAAGUAAAUUGUAACAAUCUGUGGAUUCUUAAAACUUGCUGGUAUUUUGCAAAUAUUGUACAAAUGUAAAACUUCAUGAAACAAUUGUUAUAGAAUCAGUUUUACAGUAAUCAAGCA